rnacentral:rRNA from 1 species
GAUGAACGCUAGCGGGAGGCUUAACACAUGCAAGCCGAGGGGUAUAGUUCUUUCGGGAACUAGAGACCGGCGCACGGGUGCGUAACGCGUAUGCAACUUGCCCUACUGAAAAGGAUAGCCCUUCGAAAGGAGGAUUAAUACUUUAUAACAGAUUUAAUGGCAUCAUUAGAUUUUGAAAGAUUUAUCGCAGUAGGAUAGGCAUGCGUAAGAUUAGUUAGUUGGUGAGGUAACGGCUCACCAAGACGAUGAUCUUUAGGGGGCCUGAGAGGGUGAACCCCCACACUGGUACUGAGACACGGACCAGACUCCUACGGGAGGCAGCAGUGAGGAAUAGUGGACAAUGGGUGGAAGCCUGAUCCAGCCAUCCCGCGUGUAGGAUGACGGCCUUAUGGGUUGUAAACUACUUUUAUCUGGGGAUAAACCUACUUACGUGUAAGUAGCUGAAGGUACCAGAAGAAUAAGCACCGGCUAACUCCGUG